GACGAACGCUGGCGGCGUGCCUAAUACAUGCAAGUCGAACGCAGUGGGGACGGGUGAGUAACCCGUGGGUAAACUCCCAUAAGAGGGGAUAACACUUGGAAACAGGUGCUAAACCGAUACUGAUGGAUGGACCCGCGGUGCAUGAGCUAGUUGGGGAGGUAACGGCUCACCAAGGCCACGAUGCCUUGCAGACCGAAGAGUGUGAUCGUCAACACUGGAACUGAUACACGGCCCAGACGCCUACGGGAGGCAGCAGUAGGGAAUCUUCGGCAAUGGACGAAAGUCUGACCGAGCAACGCCGCGUGAGUGAAGAAGGUUUUCGGAUCGUAAAACUCUGUUGUUAGAUAAGCGGUAUCUAACCAGAAAGCCACGGCUAACUACGUGCCAGCAGCCGCGGUAAUUC
rnacentral:rRNA from 1 species